rnacentral:rRNA from 1 species
AGAUACCCCACUAUGCUCAGCNGUAAACCUUAACUUACAUUAAAAUCGCCAGGGAACUACGAGCCACGCUUAAAACCCAAAGGACUUGACGGCACUUCACAUCCAACUAGAGGAGCCUGUCCUAUAAAUCGAUAAUCCCCGUUCAACCUCACCCCCCUUAGCCUUUUCAGCCUGUAUACUUCCGUCGUCAGCUCACCGUGUGAGCGCCACUCAGUAGGCCCAACCGCUAAAUACGCACACACGUCAGGUCAAGGUGCAGCUUACAGGGGGGAAGAGAUGGGCUACAUUCUCUAUAAUAGAGUAUACGAAUGACUGCACAUGAAACCCAGUCAGAAGGCGGAUUUAGAAGUAAAGAGGAAAGCAGAGCGUUCCCUUUAAUAACGGCACUGAAGUGUGUACACACCGCCCGUCACCCUCCUCACAGCCACCUUGAUAGUAACUAACAACUCACGGCACCAAAGAGGAGGCAAGUCGUAACA